UUACCUACGGGAGGCAGCAGUGAGGAAUAUUGGUCAAUGGGCGGAAGCCUGAACCAGCCAAGUCGCGUGAGGGAAUAAGGCCCUACGGGUCGUAAACCUCUUUUGCCGGGGAGCAAGGGCGGGGACGUGUCCCGGCCCGGAGAGUACCCGGAGAAAAAGCAUCGGCUAACUCCGUGCCAGCAGCCGCGGUAAUACGGAGGGUGCAAGCGUUACUCGGAAUCACUGGGCGUAAAGAGCGCGUAGGCGGGAUAGCAAGUCAGAUGUGAAAUCCUAUGGCUUAACCAUAGAACUGCAUUUGAAACUGU
rnacentral:rRNA from 1 species